rnacentral:rRNA from 1 species
UACGUAGGGGGCGAGCGUUGUCCGAAGUUACUGGGCGUAAAGCGCGCGUAGGCGGGCUGUUAAGUGAGGGGUGAAAUACCGGGGCUCAACCCCGGAACUGCCUUUCAUACUGGCAGUCUUGAGGGCGGUAGGGAGAAGUGGAAUGGCUGGUGUAGCGGUGAAAUGCGUAGAUACCAGUCGGAACACCGGUGGCGAAGGCGGCUUCUUGGGCCGUUCCUGACGCUGAGGCGCGAAAGCCAGGGGAGCAAACGGG